ensembl:snoRNA
AUCCUUUUGUAGUUCAUAAGUGUGAUGACUGGGUGUUCACACUAGAUGUGCCUCUCUCAAAUCUUGCAAGUUCCUUGUUACGAGAUCGGCACAUUACCCAUCUGACA